UGCAGUCGAACGGCAGCACGGAGCUUGCUCUGGUGGCGAGUGGCGAACGGGUGAGUAAUGCGUCGGAACGUAUCCAUAAUGGGGGAUAACGCAGCGAAAGCUGUGCUAAUACCGCAUACGCCCUCCGGGGGAAAGCAGGGGAUCUUCGGACCUUGCGUUAAUGGAGCGGCCGACGUCUGAUUAGCUAGUUGGUAGGGUAAGGGCCUACCAAGGCGACGAUCAGUAGCUGGUCUGAGAGGAUGAUCAGCCACACUGGGACUGAGACACGGCCCAGACUCCUACGGGAGGCAGCAGUGGGGAAUUUUGGACAAUGGGCGCAAGCCUGAUCCAGCCAUUCCGCGUGAGUGAAGAAGGCCUUCGGGUUGUAAAGCUCUUUCAGGAGGGAAGAAACGAUUGUGGCUAAUACCCAUGAAUAAUGACGGUACCUUCAGAAGAAGCACCGGCUAACUACGUGCCAGCAGCCGCGGUAAUACGUAGGGUGCGAGCGUUAAUCGGAAUUACUGGGCGUAAAGCGUGCGCAGGCGGUUUUUCAAGUCUGAUGUGAAAUCCCCGGGCUUAACCUGGGAACUGCGUUGGAAACUGAAAGACUAGAGUGCGGCAGAGGGGGGUAGAAUUCCACGUGUAGCAGUGAAAUGCGUAGAUAUGUGGAGGAAUACCGAUGGCGAAGGCAGCCCCCUGGGUCGACACUGACGCUCAUGCACGAAAGCGUGGGUAGCAAACAGGAUUAGAUACCCUGGUAGUCCACGCCCUAAACGAUGUCAACUAGUUGUUGGGGAGGGAGACCUCCUUAGUAACGCAGCUAACGCGUGAAGUUGACCGCCUGGGGAGUACGGUCGCAAGAUUAAAACUCAAAGGAAUUAACGGGGGCCCGCACAAGCGGUGGAUUAUGUNGNUUAAUUCGAUGCAACGCGAAAAACCUUACCUACCC
rnacentral:rRNA from 1 species